UACGUAGGGUGCAAGCGUUGUCCGGAAUUAUUGGGCGUAAAGAGCUCGUAGGCGGUCUGUCGCGUCGGCUGUGAAAACUCGGGGCUCAACCCUGAGACGUCGGUUGAAACCAUCUGGCUAGAGUCCGGAAGAGGAGUGUGGAAUUCCCGGUGUAGCGGUGAAAUGCGCAGAUAUCGGGAAGAACACCCGUGGCGAAGGCGGCACUCUGGGACGGUACUGACGCUGAGACGCGAAAGCGUGGGGAGCGAACAGG
rnacentral:rRNA from 1 species